rnacentral:rRNA from 1 species
UAGGGAAUCUUCCACAAUGGACGAAAGUCUGAUGGAGCAACGCCGCGUGAGUGAAGAAGGGUUUCGGCUCGUAAACUCUGUUGUUAAAGAAGAACAUAUCUGAGAGUAACUGUUCAGGUAUUGACGGCAUUUAACCAGAAAGCCACGGCUAACUACGUGCCAG